AGGACGAACGCUGGCGGCGUGCUUAACACAUGCAAGUCGAGCGGUAAGGCCUUUCGGGGUACACGAGCGGCGAACGGGUGAGUAACGCGUGGGUGAUCUGCCCUGCACUUCGGGAUAAGCCUGGGAAACUGGGUCUAAUACCGGAUAUGACCUCCUAUCGCAUGGUGGGUGGUGGAAAGAUUUAUCGGUGCAGGAUGGGCCCGCGGCCUAUCAGCUUGUUGGUGGGGUAAUGGCCUACCAAGGCGACGACGGGUAGCCGACCUGAGAGGGUGACCGGCCACACUGGGACUGAG
rnacentral:rRNA from 1 species